UUCCAGUCACACGGCUAAACGCCAUCCAGUACCUGCAUGGCUAUUAGAACGCGACAUUAAGUCUCCAUGGGGGAGGUAAUGCACGUAAGCGUCGUUGUUUUGUCUUUCGAGUCUUGUGCUACAAUUCAAGAUAAUGAAUUUUGAGUCUAGGGGAUAGGGAUCGAUGGAGCGGACUGGUGGUUCUCGGAGCUAGAAACAUUCUAGAAUGCUAGCUGACGUUCACGGACAUCAUUCACGGUUCAUUGAGCUUACCUGACGAAGACAAUUUCCAUAAUGUAGAUAUGGCUGGUCGGCGACUUUUACCCGCUGACCGAUUUUUUGUUCAACCAGAUAUCUCGGCGCCUCUAAAUAUAGAGGAAGAGCGGCAGGAGCAAAUUAGAUGCAUGGAACCUUUCUCGAAUCAAGGUUAGGACUUGUAAACCACGGUUGGGCCAUGUAGGGAAUAAGGUAGAUGGGGAUUCACGGCAGGGAGUUGC
rnacentral:sRNA from 1 species